rnacentral:rRNA from 1 species
AGAGUUUGAUCCUGGCUCAGGACGAACGCUGGCGGUGCGCUUAAUGCAUGCAAGUCGAACGGGCAAAGGGGCUUCGGCCUCGGCGCUAGUGGCAGACGGCUGAGUAACACGUAAGUGAUCUGCCCCGGAGAGGGGGAUAACCCGGAGAAAUCCGGCCUAAUACCCCAUACGUUCAUGUGGUUAUGGCCAUGUGAAGAAAGGUUUACGUCGCUCUGGGAGGAGCUUGCGGCCUAUCAGGUAGUUGGUGGGGUAAAGGCCUACCAAGCCGAAGACGGGUAACCGAUGUGAGAGCAUGAUCGGUCAGAGGGGGACUGAGACACGGCCCCCACUCCUACGGGAGGCAGCAGCAGGGAAUCUUGCGCAAUGGGCGAAAGCCUGACGCAGCGACACCGCGUGGGGGAAGAAGGCCUCAGGGUUGUAAACCCCUUUUCUGUGGGAAGAGAUAGGACGGUACCACAGGAAUAAGCAUCGGCUAACUACGUGCCAGCAGCCGCGGUAAUACGUAGGAUGCAAGCGUUGUCCGGAUUUACUGGGCGUAAAGGGUGUGUAGGCGGCAUGGUAAGUCUCAUGUGAAAUCUCCCGGCUCAACUGGGAGGGGUCAUGGGAAACUGCCAAGCUUGAGGGCAGCAGAGGAAAGCGGAAUUCCGGGAGUAGUGGUGGAAUGCGUAGAUACCCGGAGGAACACCAGAGGCGAAGGCGGCUUUCUGGGCUGUGCCUGACGCUGAUACACGAAAGCGUGGGGAGCAAACCGGAUUAGAUACCCGGGUAGUCCACGCCCUAAACGAUGAGUGCUGGGUAUGGGGGGUAUCGACCCCUCCUGUGUCGGAGUUAACGCGAUAAGUAUCCCGCCUGGGGAGUACGGCCGCAAGGCUAAAACUCAAAGGAAUUGACGGGUCCCCGCACAAGCGGCGGAGCGUGUGGUUUAAUUCGAUGAUAAGCGAAGAACCUUACCUGGGCUUGACAUGCAUUUGACAACCCAUGAAAAUGGGCUUUCCUUCGGGACAGAUGCACAGAUGUUGCAUGGCUGUCGUCAGCUCGUG